rnacentral:miRNA from 1 species
CUCCCUCUUCCUCUUCCUCCUCCUCCUCAUCGUCUGAUAAACUUAGCAGUAAACACUAAACUGACUCAGACGAUGAUUUUAAUGUAUUUUUUAGUUGGUGUUUCAUAAAAUUUCAUCAUAAAAAAGUCA